UUGUGCUUUCCGGUACUGGAUAUUAUCUGUGGAGGACAGUGCAGCUCGUUAUUCUGGUUUGGAAGCAGAACUUGGGAGGAGCCAGUAUCAGACAGGAACGGCAGAGCCCGCUGCCAAGAAGAACGGAGGAGGCUGCUUGCCUUUCUCCCUUGCUGAUACUCGGCCUUUCGGAGGGAGCCGGGCAGCUGCUGCGAGAUGUCUACGAUCCUGAAGUGGUUUGGGAGAGACGAGGACAAGGACAAAGACAAGGAGAAGGAGAAGAUCAAGGAGAAGGACAAAG